UGACCUCAAAUCAGGUAGGAACACCCGCUGAACUUAAGCAUAUCAAUAAGCGGAGGAAAAGAAAAUAACAAUGAUUCCCCUAGUAACUGCGAGUGAAGAGGGACAAGCUCAAAUUUUAAAUCCAUCGGGUUUUACCCGAUCGAGUUGUAAUUUGAAGAGGCGUUUUCUGUGUUUCUGAUCAGUCCAAGUCCUUUGGGAUAAGGCAUCAUGGAGGGUGAGAAUCCCGUUCGGUUGAUCAGAUUCGCUUUACGAUACGUUAUCAAAGAGUCAAGUUGUUUGGGAUUGCAGCUUAAAAUGGGAGGUAAAUUUCUCCUAAGGCUAAAUAACGGCGAGAGACCGAUAGCGAACAAGUACCGUGAGGGAAAGAUGAAAAGAACUUUGAAAAGAGAGUUAAACAGUACGUGAAAUUGUUGAAAGGGAAACGAUUGAAGCCAGUCGUACCUUCGGGUAAUCAGCCUUUCGGGUGCGAUUAUGUGGAGUGUGAGGAGCUUAAACACCUUCAUGUUUUGCAUAUUCGUACUCUUGGGUGUACUUGCCCGUGUGGUUGGUUAACAUCAAUUUUGGUGGUCAUAAAAUGACUGGAGGAAUGUAGCUUCGAUCUCGUAUUGAAGUGUUAUAGCCUUCGGUAGAUGUGAUGAUCGAGAUUGAGGAUUGCAACGGAUACCCUUCGGGGCUACCUGUCUGAUCUCUGAUCGUUGCUCUGGUGCCGAAAGCUUGCUUACGGUUAUCAAAGUCGAUGGUCAAUAGGUUAGAACGGGUUAAAUUCGUUAAGGAUGUUGACGUAAUGGCUUUAAACGACCCGUCUUGAAACACGGACCAAGGAGUCUAACAUAUAUGCGAGUGUUAGGGUGAUUAAACCCUUACGCGUAAUGAAAGUAAUUUUGGUGGGAACACUUUUGUGCA
rnacentral:ncRNA from 1 species